GCCUACACAUGCACUAGUCUGUACUCUGUGUAGCUGCUCAAAAUGCUGAUUGCACUGACCUUCACCACCUCCCAACAAAAUAAAAUGAGAGCGCAAGACGCGGAGGGGGAGAAGACGUGGAGAAGACACUCUUGACAGAUCUGUGAACGGUGUCCCUCCAUGUUUUUUUUUCUUUCUCAAAUAAAUCUCAUCGUUUUUUAUAAUACUUGUUGUCUUGGCUUCCCUGGACAAGACAACAGGUCUAAGAGUCAGGAACCAAAGCAGUCAGAGGAGCCAAAUAGAGGUGUAAAGCAAGGCUAGAACGUAGCAGCUAGAACGUAGCGGCUAGGCAGCAGCGAGUACGGCUGGGAAGCUAGCUAGCUAACGGGUGGCUCAUCAGACUCGCCUUUAUUCUGCAGAGGAGAGUGUGGCUGACGAGGUGAAGACUGGCAGGUGUGUCGGUGAGACAGGUGCAAUGAUUGGGGAGACGCCCAGCCCACACUGAAUUAAGGCAAAGGUCACCAAAAACAACAGGGUGAGGGGACACACGGUAGAUUGCUGAGGACAAUGGAUUCCAACACUCUCGUCUUCAGGCUAGCGUUAAACCAUGACACACACGGUGACUUCCUGUGAUUACCCCGAGCCACGCGUGACAUCCAAAUGGAACUGGUUGUCUAAUGUGUAAAACACAGUAACUUACCUUUUAAAGUCCGUUUCCCACUGAUGAAGUUAGCGUAUGCUGAGUUCUCGUCAGGGUUCGUUCAAGGCCGCAAACCUACCCCAAACAUUCUCCAACACUUUUAAUGUUUUGUUUUUUUCUCAUCGCAAGGAAAUUUGGAACGUUUCAAAUGAAUUUGCUUUCUAGCGAGCUGGAACAGUAGAUAUUAAUAUAGUACAACAAGUACACUGAUGCCAUGUCCGCGUUAAUAUAUGAGGUGUGUCAGAAAAGUUAUAGGACUGAUGUCACACUCACCACAAAAAAUUUUUCAUUGCAAUAUAUAAACUGAAAGUUUUUCCAUUCUAAGUAAUCCCCCUGGGCUAAAACACACUUCCCCAGCUUUAUCGGCAACACUUUCAUGCAUUCUUAUGGAAUCUUUCGGAGCUCAUUGUGAUCAGCCACAAGUUGUCCUGCUAGAGCUCUCGCCUCUUCUCGCACACUGAACAAAGCAAACUCCGGUGGUUCUCUUUUUAGAUUUGCUGGUUGACUGUCCACACUCCCUCUUUGCGGUUUGGGUUUGAAGUAUUGUAUUAAAAAAAAUAACUCAUCCACUCACGAGUUUUGUUUACUUACUCCACACUUCACUAUGUUUCGGUUUCGGCUUUGCACAUUGGGUGUUGAUUAUUUUGACAAUUUAGCCGAAUGUGUGAUGAGUAAUUCCACUUUGCUGUGAUUGCGCUCUUUCCUUUGACAUAUUAUUUCUAUGUUGUGGUUUAUAGUCUGCCAAAGUGUAUUUCAUGAGGACAGGUUAUUUAAACACACACACAUUUGUGUGGAUGGAUAGAUUUCAGACGUAGCUAAAAUGUUAUAUUUAGGAGGUAACUAAACUAUGUUCCACCAAUGGAAUUUUGCCCAUUACAAUUCAGUACGCUACACACAUUUGGUGUACUACUUGACAUUGUACAUUGAGCAUUAGAAAUCAAACAUUUUACAUAGCCCUUCAGAAUAAUAAGAAAUAAUAGUUAAAAAUACAGUUAUUAUUUAUCCCAUUUCUUUUCUCAGGUUUAAAGAUUCACUACACAGAUUAAAUCCAAAUUGACACACACCCAGCAUAUUCGCAACACAACGUGAAUUGUGUUGUGUCCCGAAGCAAGUUUGUUGGCCUGUGCAUUGCUCAGUGACAUGCUGGCAGUGUUCAGAACACAUGCAAUAUGAAAUGUAAUACCUUUAAAUUAUGUGCAAUAAGCAAUUCCCAUUUUUUAAGUCAGUUUUUAUCAUUUGCAAAUAAAAUACUGCAACUGCA